rnacentral:rRNA from 1 species
AGCUCCAUUAGCGUAUAUUAAAGUUGUUGCAGUUAAAAAGCUCGUAGUUGGAUUUCGGUGCGGGUCGCGUCGGUCGGUCGCAAGACUUGUUUACUGGCCGGCCUGUUCUUUCUCUCCGAGACCUCGCGUUUCCUUUACUGGAUGCGCGUGCGAAUCGGAGGCGUUUACUUUGAAAAAAUUAGAGUGUUCAAGGCAGGCUCGUUUAGGCUUGAAUACAUGAGCAUGGAAUAAUGGAAUAUGACUUGGGUCACUAUUUCGUUGGUUCUAUUGACCGAAGUAAUGAUUAAGAGGGACAGUUGGGGGCAUCCGUAUUUCGUAGUCAGAGGUGAAAUUCUUGGAUCUGCGAAAGACGAACUAGUGCGAAAGCAUUUGCCAAGAAUGUUUUCAUUAAUCAAGAACG